rnacentral:rRNA from 1 species
UACGGGGGGGGCGAAGCGUUGCUCGGAAUUAUUGGGCGUAAAGAGCUCGUAGGCGGUUUGUCGCGUCUGCCGUGAAAGUCCGGGGCUCAACUCCGGAUCUGCGGUGGGUACGGGCAGACUAGAGUGAUGUAGGGGAGACUGGAAUUCCUGGUGUAGCGGUGAAAUGCGCAGAUAUCAGGAGGAACACCGAUGGCGAAGGCAGGUCUCUGGGCAUUAACUGACGCUGAGGAGCGAAAGCAUGGGGAGCGAACAGG